GAUGAACGCUAGCGGCAGGCUUAAUACAUGCAAGUCGUGGGGCAAGCGUUGGUAGCAAUACCGGCGCCUAGACCGGCAAACGGGUGAGGAACACGUACACAACCUCCCUUCGAGUGGAGAAUAACCCGGGGAAACCUGGACUAAUACUCCGUAACAUGUUGAAAAGGCAUCUUUUUAAUAUUAUAGCAGCAAUGCGCUUGAAGACGGGUGUGCGUAUGAUUAGGUAGUUGGCGGGGUAACGGCCCACCAAGCCUACGAUCAUUAACUGGUGUGAGAGCACGAUCAGUCACACGGGCACUGAGACACGGGCCCGACUCCUACGGGAGGCAGCAGUAAGGAAUAUUGGUCAAUGGACGAAAGUCUGAACCAGCCAUGCCGCGUGGAGGAUGAAGGUCCUCUGGAUUGUAAACUUCUUUAUAUGGGGCGAAAAAAGGCUUUUCUAAGUCGUCUGACGGUACCAUAUGAAUAAGCACCGGCUAAACUCCGUGCCAGCAGCCGCGGUAAU
rnacentral:rRNA from 1 species